rnacentral:lncRNA from 1 species
GUAUAAAAUAAAUGACACUGAGUAUUAUUUUUGGGGAAAAGAAUGACACUGAAAGCUUUUUCUUUAUUACCUGCAGAGGAGAAGAAAGUAAAGAGCACUAAAGUGGAAGCAAAACUUAAAAAGGAAGUGAAGGAUGGAAAAGGAGAAACAAAGGCGGCCGAGAAAGUCAAGCAGGCAGAGAUUAAACCAACAGAAACUGGGCUAAUAAAGGCCAAAACGAAAGUUAAGGAGGAGAAAGCUCUUCAGACUGUAACUAAAUCGGACAAGAAAGAUCAAUAUGCGUUCUGUCGCUAUGUGAUUGACAUGUUUGCGCAAGGGGAUUUUUAUCCAGGACAUAAGGAAUUUGUACCACCUCGUCUUCUUCUAGAACACAGUCCAAGAAAGAAACCAGCAGCUGUUGACGAAGAAAAGUCUAUUGUGGUACCCAGAGAAGUGAAAAGUAAGUUGUUUUUUAUUAUAUUUCCCUUGUCUUCAUGUUAAUUUAUGCAAAGGAUAGGAGUAUAUUGUC